rnacentral:rRNA from 1 species
UACAGAGGUCCCAAGCGUUAAUCGGAAUUACUGGGCGUAAAGCGUGCGCAGGCGGCUUUGCAAGACAGAUGUGAAAUCCCCGGGCUUAACCUGGGAACUGCAUUUGUGACUGCAAGGCUAGAGUACGGUAGAGGGGGAUGGAAUUCCGCGUGUAGCAGUGAAAUGCGUAGAUAUGCGGAGGGACACCGAUGGCGAAGGCAAUCCCCUGGACCUGUACUGACGCUCAUGCACGAAAGCGUGGGGAGCAAACAGG